rnacentral:rRNA from 1 species
AUUGAACGCUGGCGGAAUGCUUUACGCAUGCAAGUCGAACGGCAGCACGGACUUCGGUCUGGUGGCGAGUGGCGAACGGGUGAGUAAUACAUCGGAACGUGCCCAAUCGUGGGGGAUAACGUAGCGAAAGCUACGCUAAUACCGCAUACGAUCUAAGGAUGAAAGCGGGGGAUCGCAAGACCUCGCGCGAUUGGAGCGGCCGAUGGCAGAUUAGGUAGUUGGUAGGGUAAAGGCCUACCAAGCCGACGAUCUGUAGCUGGUCUGAGAGGAUGAUCAGCCACACUGGGACUGAGACACGGCCCAGACUCCUACGGGAGGCAGCAGUGGGGAAUUUUGGACAAUGGACGCAAGUCUGAUCCAGCCAUUCCGCGUGCAGGAUGAAGGCCCUCGGGUUGUAAACUGCUUUUGUACAGAACGAAAAGGCCCUGGUUAAUACCUAGGGCUCAUGACGGUACUGUAAGAAUAAGCACCGGCUAACUACGUGCCAGCCGCCGCCGUAAUAC